GAUGAACGCUGGCGGCGUGCCUAAUACAUGCAAGUCGAGCGAACGGACGAGAAGCUUGCUUCUCUGAUGUUAGCGGCGGACGGGUGAGUAACACGUGGAUAACCUACCUAUAAGACUGGGAUAACUUCGGGAAACCGUAGCUAAUACCGGAUAAUAUUUUGAACCGCAUGGUUCAAAAGUGAAAGACGGUCUUGCUGUCACUUAUAGAUGGAUCCGCGCUGCAUUAGCUAGUUGGUAAGGUAACGGCUUACCAAGGCAACGAUGCAUAGCCGACCUGAGAGGGUGAUCGGCCACACUGGAACUGAGACACGGUCCAGACUCCUACGGGAGGCAGCAGUAGGGAAUCUUCCGCAAUGGGCGAAAGCCUGACGGAGCAACGCCGCGUGAGUGAUGAAGGUCUUCGGAUCGUAAAACUCUGUUAUUAGGGAAGAACAUAUGUGUAAGUAACUGUGCACAUCUUGACGGUACCUAAUCAGAAAGCCACGGCUAACUACGUGCCAGCAGCCGCGGUAAUACGUAGGUGGCAAGCGUUAUCCGGAAUUAUUGGGCGUAAAGCGCGCGUAGGCGGUUUUUUAAGUCUGAUGUGAAAGCCCACGGCUCAACCGUGGAGGGUCAUUGGAAACUGGAAAACUUGAGUGCAGAAGAGGAAAGUGGAAUUCCAUGUGUAGCGGUGAAAUGCGCAGAGAUAUGGAGGAACACCAGUGGCGAAGGCGACUUUCUGGUCUGUAACUGACGCUGAUGUGCGAAAGCGUGGGGAUCAAACAGGAUUAGAUACCCUGGUAGUCCACGCCGUAAACGAUGAGUGCUAAGUGUUAGGGGGUUUCCGCCCCUUAGUGCUGCAGCUAACGUAUUAAGCACUCCGCCUGGGGAGUACGACCGCAAGGUUGAAACUCAAAGGAAUUGACGGGGACCCGCACAAGCGGUGGAGCAUGUGGUUUAAUUCGAAGCAACGCGAAGAACCUUACCAAAUCUUGACAUCCUUUGACAACUCUAGAGAUAGAGCCUUCCCCUUCGGGGGACAAAGUGACAGGUGGUGCAUGGUUGUCGUCAGCUCGUGUCGUGAGAUGUUGGGUUAAGUCCCGCAACGAGCGCAACCCUUAAGCUUAGUUGCCAUCAUUAAGUUGGGCACUCUAAGUUGACUGCCGGUGACAAACCGGAGGAAGGUGGGGAUGACGUCAAAUCAUCAUGCCCCUUAUGAUUUGGGCUACACACGUGCUACAAUGGACAAUACAAAGGGCAGCGAAACCGCGAGGUCAAGCAAAUCCCAUAAAGUUGUUCUCAGUUCGGAUUGUAGUCUGCAACUCGACUACAUGAAGCUGGAAUCGCUAGUAAUCGUAGAUCAGCAUGCUACGGUGAAUACGUUCCCGGGUCU
rnacentral:rRNA from 1 species